AUGCGCGUCUGCAUCCAUCCCUGGUUCACGGAUUGCACACUGCCGCAUGAGGUGGCCGCCGCGGAACAGACUGUGAAGGAUGGGUCACCGCAUAAGGUUAACUGGGCCGCCAUCAUCUGGGGUAUCAUCGAGAAGGAGAUUCACGAGCUGCCCGGGAGGGAUGAUGGGGUGUGCCAAUACGGGGCGUAUCUUCAGCGGCUCAUCCGGGUGCAGAAGCCGCUGCUGUUUGACCUGCCGCAGAAAGAGGAGGCAGGGAAGCUUGUUCAGAAGGUGUCUUUUGAUUUAGUUAAGGACGAGCGUGGUGGGGAUGCAGAUGCCAGGAACAAGGGCUUGCAGGAGUUGGAGCCUAUAGAUGCAGAUACGGAUGCGAGCAGCAAGAGCCCGAAGGAAUCAGAGUUAGAGGGUGUGAGUCUGACCAGCAAGAGCUUGGAUGAAUCGGGACCUGCAGAUGCUGAUGCUAGUGGUCAUGACUUGAAGGAGUUGGAGUCUGGGGAUGCGAGGAGCAACAUCUUGGAGGAAUCAGAGACAGCAGGUGUGGAUUUGAGGAGCAAUGACUUGAAUGAGUCUGGGGAUGCGACCAAGAUCUUUGAGGAAUCAGAGACAGCAGCUGUGGAUUUGAAGAGCAAUGACUUGAAUGAGUCUGGGAAUGCGAGGAGCAACAUCUUGGAGGAACCAGAGACAGAAGGUUCGGAUUUGAGGAACAAUGACUUAAAGAAGUCAGAUUCUGGGGAUGCAGGGAGCAAGAGCAUGGAUGAAUUGGCGGAUGCGGAUGCUAAUGCAGGGAGCAAGUCACUGGAUACAUCUAUUGUGAUGGAUGAGGAUGCUAAGGGCUUGGAUGUUGAGAUGGAGUCAGGGGAUGUUGGUGCUAAUGCAGGGAGCAAGUCACUGGAUACAUUGAAGGUGAUGGAUGAGGAUGCAAAGGGCUUGGAUGUUGAGAUGGAGUCGGUGGAUGCAGAUCCUAAUGCAGGGAGCAAGUCACCGGAUUCAUUGAAGGUUAUGGAUGAGGAUGCAAAGGGCUUGGAUGUCGAACUGGAGUCGCGGGCUAUGGAUCCUAAUGCAAGCAAUAAUUCGCCGGAUACAUUGAAGGUGGUGAAUGAGGAUGCAAAGGUCAUGAGCUUGGAUGUCGAAUUGGAGUCAGGGGAUGCAGAUGCUAAUGCAAGGAACAAGUCACCAGAUACAUCAAAGUUGGUGGAUGAGGAUGUAAAGGUGGACGUGGAUGCUAAUGCAAGCAGCAACAAACUGGAGACACCCAAUGUGGUGGAUGGGGACUUCAAACUGCUGUUGGGGUGUGUGGAUGGUAAUGCAAGCAGCAAUAGACUGGAGCCACCAAAUGUUGCUGAUGAGGAUGAUGAAUUGCAGUUGGGGGAUGUGGAGAGAUUGGAGACAUCGAAGGUGGCGGAUGAGGAUGUAAAGGGCAUGAGCUUGGAUCAAUCAAAGGCAGGGGAUGCCAUGGUGCUGGAGGAAGCUGUAGCUCGUACACAUGAAAUAAAUACUGUGAAUGGUGAGGUUUUGGCAGACUUUGCAUGGGAGGAAGAUGAAGACACAAUUGUGGGUGCAGCAGAGAAGGAUGCAUGCCCAUCGCCGGAUGUGGAACUGGUGACACAGGAGAAAGUGCUAGUAGUGCCAGAGGAGGAUGAGGAGGCAGAAGAGGAAGAAGAGAAGGAUGAGGCAGGGUGGAGCUCUGCCAAUGAUGACGAUGACAGUAUGGAUGUCGAAGAUCAUGUAUCUGUCCAAAAUCUGGAUAGUGAUAAUGAGGAGGUGGAGGAGUCAGAGCGUGAUGCAUUUGAGGGGUGUAGCGGUGGAGUGGAGAUGAACUGGGGUAUUGGGGAUGAGAAGGGGGGCGAGGGGACGACACAUUGUUUACAGCAAUGUGACUUUCCAGGGGUGGAGUUUGAGAAUUUGAAUAAAGGGAAUGUUGGGAUGAGGGAUGGUGUGAGCUUUGAUGAUGGAUUCAAAAUGGGCUCCUUGCAUGGGAUGGAGUCAAACCUCCUCCAGGCUAUGAACUCAGAUCCUGCGGCAUAUAAUGGCACGGAGAAUGCACAUGACCUGUCCUCUGGAAAUUUCUUGGCUAUGGGGGCUGAUGCACAUAAGAAUGGAGUGGACCUGGGGGCCGGCAAUUCAUUUUUCUUUGGCAAUAAUAAUGGGAAGAGGCAUGUUGAGGAUAUUGAUGAUGGGUACGAUGACCAGAUGCAAACACAACAGCAGUUUCUGCAGGGCAAUCAACAUAAGCGGAUGCGGAACUCCAGCAGUAGUGUACCACCUGGAUCAGCAUUCUUCAAUGCAAACUAUUCAGAACCCAUACAGAACUUAUUGGUCAAUGCCAGCAUGUUAUAUGAACAGAAAGACAGAGAGAUUCAAGAGGCGCUGUCACAGAAGCAAUUUAUGGCCAACUUGCUGCAGGAGAAGGAAGCACUUAUCCACUCACUAAACUCAGCCAGGUUUGAGCAAGAGAAUAAGUUGCAAGCAAAGCUUAGGUGCUUUGAGCAUGAUCUGAAUGUGAUGGGUCAGUUGGUCAGUGGGUAUAAGAGGGCUUUGAAACAGAGUCAUGCUUCUUUCAAUGAGUACAGGAAGAAGUUCCCUUCUAACAAGUUCCGUUAUCAUGAUGUUCCUAAUGGUGGCGGUCUUGUCCUUAGCGUCAGGGAGUUGGAGAGGAAACGGUGGGAGGAAGAGCAGCAGAAACGGUGGGAGGAAGAGCAGCAGAAACUUGCAGUAAAUGAGAUGAUUGAACGUUUCAAGCUUGAAUGGUUUUCAAAGCCUGAUGAUUGGGAACAUCGCAUCAACCUUUUGUGGAGGAAAACUGAAGGGCUGGCUCGGGAGCUUGAUCUUCUCAAGGAAAAAAGAAAAGCAAAGCUUGCAGCCCUUGCUAGGGAAGAAUGA
rnacentral:rRNA from 1 species